GCCACGUAUUCCGUAUGCUACACGGUAGCAUUGUAUCCUGUUUAAUCUGGACGGUGAGCAGCGUGAGAGCACGCACUGCCUUCUUCUUCUUUGUGUCCUGGGUCUGUCUAGGGCCCGGCUCGGAGCUCGUAGGAACUCAGAGUCUUUUGUGGCUGAGUCGAGUUCUGUCCUAACCGUUCACUGUGUGCUGAGCUCCUCGUGGGGGGCGCCCCGUGGAACCUGUUAUGAAAUAUUCCCAGAGGCAUGGAGGGUGACUUCUGUAACCCUAGGACAGUUAUCCGUGGGUGCUUGGCUCUCUCCAGUCUUUAUCUUGUCUCGGGAGGCUGUUGGGUCAUUGACACGAGGUGGGGUCUUGGAUGAACCACUCCUGUCGUUAGGGGCUGGGACAGCCUUUUUCCAGAUUGUCCUGUUCCAGCGGCCUGAGGAGUGUCUUCCUGGACUCCCACCAGGAGUUAGAAGCCUUCUCAACUGUCGGUGUGCUUCCUGUUUGCACAUUUGAUUUGGUGCCUAGUGUAUGUCGUCUUGCCGCCUUGUCAUAUUACCUCAUUUCCCUUUUAUAGUUGCUUGUCAUUCAAGGAACGGAUUGGAGCAGAAGGCAUUUAAGGUCCUGUACUAGUGUCCUGUGGCUGCUGCAACAAAUGACCACAAACGUGGUGGCCUCAAACAACACAAAUUCGUUCUCUUACAGUCUGGAGGUCUGACCCAGGUCUCACUGGGCUAACGUCAAGGUGUCGGCAGGGCUGGUUCAUUUCUGGAAGGAGCGUCUGUUUCCUUGCCUUUUCCAGCUUCUGGGGGACAUCCGCAUUCCUUGGCUUGUGGCCCCUUCUUCCAUCUUGAAAGCCAGCAGCCCAGCAGCGUCCAAUCCCUCUCUGACUCUGCUCCUGCCCUCACAUCUCCUUCUCUGACUCUGACCCUCCCGCCUCCCUCUUACAAGGACCCUGCGAUGACAGUGGACUCGCCUGGAUUGUCCCGGCUGCUCUUCCCACCUCAAGAGCCUGAGCUUAAUCACAUCUCUGUCUCUGUCUCUGUCUCUCUCUCCUUCUCCCCCUCCUUCUCUCUCUCUUCCUACGCCACUCCUUGGUUCUUUCCUUCACGGGAUCAACACAGUUUGUAAUCCUGCGUGUACAGGUUUCAAGUCUGUCUCCCCCACUGUUUGAGAAGCUCGUCUCCUUGUUCACGGCUAUAUUCCCAGGAUCUAGAGAAAUGCCGGUAGAAUUAUGCUCGAGUUGAAAAUUUCCCUCUGACGCAUUCCCGUCCAUUUGCAGGCCAUGGGCCUGUCAAUCAGAGAGGAAGAGAUGCCCACACCACGUUCUAGCCCCGCGGCUUCCCGGCCAGCCUCGGGGUAGCAUGCUUAGUGCCCACCGACACUGUCUGUCCCAGACCUGAUCCCCCGACCGGGAACUACUGUCUGAGCAGAGACUCUGCACACACACUCCUCACCUUGAAGGCAGAGUUUUGUCACCAUCUUGUUCGUACUUAUGGCGCAAGUGGCUACCGCUGCCCAACAGAUGGAGUUCACGGAAGUCCGGGUCCUGGAGAAACGUAUGUGCUGGCUGUGACAGGUCAGUGGAGGCAGGAACACAGCAAUCGAUGACAUUUAACAAGCUCAGAAGUUAUUUCCCCCGCAGACCUAAGGAUUAUGACCAAGUCUGAUUUGUCUUUACCCCUGAAGACAGGCAGUGGGAAAAAAACAGGCCCAAGAGCUUUGAAGACAAAGUUUCUGUCUGUGCUGUGGGCUGCUCCCGACAGCCAGGUGUCACCUGAAGCGGAAGGAUGAGGAUCGGUGUGAGCAUACACAGACGGCUGAGGCUACAGGUUCGAGAUGUCCACUGGGGCCGCAGUUUGGAAAGUACGUGCUGACAUGGCAGCUGAGAACCAAAACCCCUUCUGAGCCUGUGGUCAAACCCUCCUAAUAAGAAGAGAAACUGAGAGUCUCAGGCCGCGUGCUGGGAGAGCCGCACGGUCGGGCAAGGGGCUGGGGGUGGGGGAGGCGCCAGGAAAACUCUGAAAAUUCUGCACCCUGUUUUGCUUUCACUCACCUAGAUUUAGAAGAAUCCUCUGGCAAAAUGAAACUGAACUCUUACUUCCCCACUGAUGGUCUCCCGGUGACGGCAUAGACACUCUUGUCCUUGGUGGUAGAUCUGGAUGCUUUGGGUGUCGGCUUUGUCAAGGUUUAAUUUAUGUACAAUAAAAUCCACCAAUUUGAAGUGUACCAUUUAAUGAGUUUUGACAAAUGUGUACAGUCCUGCAGCCACCACGAUCAUGACAUAAACCAUUUCCAUCGUCCCAACAGUUCCCUCGUCUCUCUCUCUCUGGGUAAUCUCCUUCUUCCACCCCCAGCUCCCGGCAACCCCUGAGCUGCUUUCCAGCACUGUGGUUUGGCUUUUUCUUUUUAUGAAUUGUAUGUGCAUAGAAUCUUACAGCAUGUGGUCCUUUAUGUCUGGCUUUUGAAACUUAACGGAGUGCUUUUACGAGUCCUCCACACUGUUGUGUUUCAGUCGCCUGUUCGGUGUGGAGACGUGACAAUUUGUUUGACCAUUCACCAGUUCCUGGAUGUCUGGGUUGUUUCCAGUGUUUGGAGACACCGAAUAAAGCUGCUAUAAACAUUCAUUUACAGGUAUUAACGUGGACAUAUGUUUUCUAUUUUUGUGGUAAAUACCUAUAAGUGGAAUUACUGGG
ensembl:lncRNA